rnacentral:rRNA from 1 species
GACGAACGCUGGCGGCGUGCUUAACACAUGCAAGUCGAGCGGAAAGGCUCCUUUGGGGGUACUCGAGCGGCGAACGGGUGAGUAACACGUGAGUAAUCUGCCCUCUACUUCUGGAUAACCCUCUGAAAGGGGGGCUAAUACGGGAUAGGACCUGCUGCCGCAUGGUGGUGGGUGGAAAGUUUUUUCGGUGGGGGAUGUGCUCGCGGCCUAUCAGCUUGAUGGUGGGGUAAUGGCCUACCAUGGCUUUGACGGGUAGCCGGCCUGAGAGGGUGACCGGGCACACUGGGACUGAGACACGGCCCAGACUCCUACGGGAGGCAGCAGUGGGGAAUAUUGGACAAUGGGCGGAAGCCUGAUCCAGCAACGCCGCGUGGGGGAUGACGGCCUUCGGGUUGUAAACCUCUUUCAGUACUGACGAAGCUUUUUGUGACGGUAGGUACAGAAGAAGCACCGGCCAACUACGUGCCAGCCGCCGCCGUAAUAC